rnacentral:misc_RNA from 1 species
AUAUAUAUAUCAACCUCUCUUGUUGAGUGGUUUGGAUGUUGGGGGAUUUUUGCUGGCCUGUUCAGCUCCUCUGAAAUGCAUUAGCAGAACAACCUGUUCAUUGGUGUGAUAACUAUCUACGCUAUUGAAUGUGAGGUGCAGUUCAGCUUUCUAACAGUCUUUGGACAGUUUGUUUAUCAUUU